rnacentral:lncRNA from 1 species
GUGAUUAUUUUUUUUUCUUUUCUUUUUUUCCAGAGCUGGGGACCGAACUCAGGGCCUUGCGCUUGCUAGGCAAGCGCUCUACCACUGAGCUAAAUCCCCGACCCCAAACAUGUGAUUAUUUAACACUUGACAGCACGGCUAGCUCGUGGGCUGGGCCAUGUUAUAAAGUGUUGUGCCUCUCAUGCAUGAGGUCCUGGGUUUAACACUCUUUACUGCAUAAACUAGGUGUGGUAGGUGACUGCUUAGAGCUAAUAACGAGAGGUGAAGUCAAGAAGGUCAGAAAUCCAAAGUCAUCAUAGGAGUUGAAGGCCAGACUGAUGUGUAUGGUAUCCCAUCUCAAGGGAGGGGGGUGUUGAGUGGCUAGACCCACUAAAGAAGAAAAUGAAUUAUGGAUUUAAGUGUUGCUGUUUGCUUUUGCUACCCAGAAGGUCAGACUUAGGGCCUAGUACCUGCUGAUCAAGGCUUACACCAUUGAGGUCUACCAUCAAGCCUAAUUAAAUAUCCAUAGCCAGCAACUACCAUAUUGGACACCGCAAUUUUAGAUCUCUGUUUUAAGCUACCUCUUUUUAAAAAAAAAA